AGGUGUGAUCGUACCAGCACUAAUGCACCAGAUUUCAUCAGAACUCCGUAGUUAAGCGUGCUUGGGCGAGAGUAGUUCUAGGAUGGGUGACCUUUUGGGAAGUCCUUGUGUUGCACCUC
rnacentral:rRNA from 2 species